rnacentral:rRNA from 1 species
UACGAAGGGUGCAAACGUUGCUCGGAAUUAUUGGGCGUAAAGCGCACGUAGGCGGCUUUGCAAGUCGGAUGUGAAAUCCCUCGGCUUAACCAAGGAAGUGCAUCCGAAACUGCAGAGCUUGAGUACUUAAGAGGAUCGCGGAAUUCCCGGUGUAGAGGUGAAAUUCGUAGAUAUCGGGAGGAACACCAGUGGCGAAGACGGCGAUCUGGGAAGAUACUGACGCUGAGGUGCGAAAGCGUGGGGAGCAAACAGG